rnacentral:misc_RNA from 1 species
GAUGAAGAACGCAGCGAAAUGCGAUACGUAAUGUGAAUUGCAAAUUCAGUGAAUCAUCGAGUCUUUGAACGCACAUUGCGCCCCCUGGUAUUCCGGGGGGCAUGCCUGUCCGAGCGUCAUUGCUGCCCUCAAGCACGGCUUGUGUGUUGGGCCCCGUCCUCCGAUCCCGGGGGACGGGCCCGAAAGGCAGCGGCGGCACCGCGUCCGGUCCUCGAGCGUAUGGGGCUUUGUCACCCGCUCUGUAGGCCCGGCCGGCGCUUGCCGAUCAACCCAAAUUUUUAUCCAGGUUGACCUCGGAUCAAGUAGGGAUACCCGCUGAACUUAAGCAUAUCAAUAAGCGGAGGA